GGCCGUUUAGCUCAGUGGUAGAGCGCUGCAUUCACAUUGCAGAUGUCGGAGGUUCAAAUCCUCCAGCGGCCACUA
rnacentral:tRNA from 2 species